GGUGGGGCUGGAGAUGGAGGGACAAGAGCUGGAGCCAGGUGUGAGGUGGGACUCCUCCUCGGCUUGGUGGCCCCUACUACCUUAUUGUGGGUAGGGUCUGAUCCCAAGUUACUAGAGCAGAAGCCUUGAAGUUUGAGCUUGAGCUGGUUCUGUUCCCUUUAGGUGCAUGCUUUUCCCUUUCCCAGCACUGGGACCCUUGCCCCAGAGUGGGGGAAUGCUGAAGCAGGGGUGGGAGCCCUAUGGGUUAUCAGCCACAGACAGAGAUCUGAACUGUCUCCAAUGCACUGCCUGUGGAGGCGCCCCUAAUUUUUUCCCUAGCUUUGCUCAGACAGACCCUCAGGUGCAAGUCCCCUUUGUCCCUCACAACUCAUCUAUGUCUCCAGCCUCUGCUACCCCUGCCCUGUUGUGGAGCCACAUUGCAAAGCAGAUGGGGUUCAUGUCAGCUCUCAGAGCAUUUUGGGGCAUCAUCAGUAACAGAGAGACCACUGUCAGAGUUCUGGGCUACUUCUUCUGUAUUUCCAGCAUAAGCACCAACCAUGGCCCCAGCCACCCCACUCAGGCUCUGCCCUGGGACCUGACUGCCUCUGCAUCCCCGGGGAGAGUUUUCUCCCCAGUCAUGGCUACCCUAAGUACAGUGCUGUGCUGUGAUGUGGACUGAGUGGGGCUGGAGUAUUCAUAUGGCUGGGGCUGAGAUGUACUCCAAGGUGGUUUCUUGGUUUCUGGGAAGCCAGGCAGUUGCUAGAGCAGAGCCCCCUCCACCCUCCCACCUUGCCUUGGGGGCACACCAGCCCCCACACACUCCUCAGGAGCAGAGUCCAGCCUUUCCAUGCCCUCCUGUUGGUCCUCCAGCCAAACAAGGGGGGCUCAUUUCCCCUGUGUAGAACCCUAGGACUGGAGCACCCAAACUGCGGCUCUCGCUGCCCAUCCCCAGGGAGGGGCUCUGCCCAUAAAUUCUCCCUUUUCCUCUGAGUCUCCCUCCCCAUGCACAGUUCCUGACCUGAGAGCAUUUCUUUCCUUCUGACCUAUUAUGUGUGAAUCUUUCUUGCAGCCCUUGUUGUGCAGAAGUCUUUCUGCCAAUUUCCAGUUCACUUUCAGUGAGAAUUGUUCCAUAGUUGUAUUUUUGAUGUGUUCACUGGGGAGGUGAGUUCCACUUCCUCUUACUCUGCCAUCUUGAUUGGUCUCCUACCAUGGUUUUAAAAAAAGAAUUUUGUAGCUAAUUAUAUUAAUGAUAUCCUUACUUAAACCCUCCCUUUCUAUAGCAACUCAUGGAAGAAUCCUCCUAUACGUACAUGCCUUUAUCCUGAUUACUGCUCACACAGUCCCUUGAAGUUUAUAGUCCUCAUGUACAAAAUAGACCUUGGAAGAUGCCAAUACUUACGGUUAAAUGGACUAUUACCUACUUGGCCCUUCCACUGUGUAACUAAUGCUUCUGAGUUUCUCUGAUUAUUUUUUGAAAGGAGAGGACAAAAUGUUCUUAGGAGACAGUACAGAUAUCCCUCUAAAGCCAAAUGAUCUAAAUAUUUGAUAUCAGUAUCUAGUCCUGUAGAUGGAAUAUUUGUGUAGCUCAGUCAGUGGAAUACAAGCCAUUCCUAUGCUUGAAUAGAUUUGUAACUGAUUAUAUUUGUAGCACACAGUAUCUCUUCCCAGGAAAUAUGUUAAUUUCGUAUAGGUGUUUUAUGAUGGCAGUGUGUAAACAGUGUGUGUGUGUGUGUGCAUGCACACACUUUUGAUACAUACCUCCUAUUUCUCUAGGAUUAUCCAGGAAAGCAUUUUCUGGAGAGCUUUGUUUCUAAGCUCCAUAUGAACAUCUGGAGUUUUCAAGGUGAAAAUGAUUCCUCAUGGAUUGGUUUUAACAAGCUGGGUAGCACAGACUGGAAGGGAUUAAGGCAGACAAUGUGACCACACAACAAUUUCCUCCCUUAUAAACCUUUUAUAUCACUUAUCAGAAUUUUAAUUCCAUCUGCUAAGUAAUGCAGGUCCCUAAAGCAGAGGUUAUGCCUGCAGCCACAGGUUGGGGUCCUCAGCUGCUUUUUUAUAACACUGUGCACUGCAGUUUCUGUGGGCCUCUUUGGUGAAGAAGCAAGUCAUGUUUGAGUUAGAUGGUGAAUCCUUUUAUUUAUUUUUUCAAUAGGAAAAGAAACUCUGUUUUUAAAGACUAUUUGCUCAUUGCUGGAUAAGGACAGCCCUAAUAAACUAAAACCAGAGUAUUCUUAAUUUAUCAAUUGACAUAUUUUUAGAACCAUCUCUGGUCCUUUCUACUACACUAUUUUAGAAUGAUUUAAGUUAGCGUAUUUAAAUAUAAUUCUUGGAAGAAAGAAGAUCUUUCCUUAAAGCUGGAGUGCUCAUCGGCAGGCAGCAGAGAUGGGCUGUGUUAAUGUCAAUUUCUUUGCUUUUUAUAAAUGCCACCUGUGUUACCAGCAUUGAUUUGAAGGUGAUGUAAUUUUCUUGCAAAUCCAUUAGUUUUAUAGGUUUUUGGCAAGCCCCACUGCUGUGUUGAUUAGAUAUAGUAACUGUGUCUAUUUAAACAGGGUUUUAAAUGCUUGGCUCGACUUUCUAUAUUGGCUGGAUAACAAGAUGUACAGUAGAUGCUUUAACUUAAGGUUGUGCUAAACAGUGAUUUGACACAUAGCUUAGUGUUUAGCCAUUUGUGAUAAUAAGCACUUUAAUUGUGGAGUUAAUUGUAGGUACCUGCAAGACAUAGCUUUAAGCGAUCCUGACAAAUAAGAUAGAGACUCUCUACCCUCUUUAGGCUGCUUUAUUCUAACAGUGUUUCUCAAAAUGCAGUUCUCAGACAAGCAAUAUCAGCAUCAUCUGGGUACAUGUUAGAAAUGCAUAUUCUUGGCCCCACCCCAGACACACUGAAUCAGAAACUCUGAGGAGGGGGGUGCGUCCCCAGGUAUCUGUGUUUUCACAAGCCCCCCUGGUGACUCUGCCUAUGCUACUUUGGAACCACUGGUAUAAGAGAAUCCUUGAUACACAGCACUGCUGUAUUUUGGCACAAACAAUGCAACGUGAAUCACUUCUAUAAUUACUCUUAGUGAAUUAACUUCCUAUAUCCAAAUUAGCAAAUAUUGGAACAUUUUAUAUUAAUGAAAAACUAUCAGGGAUCUCUUAAUUUUUGAAGAUGUAUCUUUACCCUGAUAGAUGGUGGCUUGUUGUAAACAUAUUAGGAUUGAGGUUUGGGGUGAGGGAAAGCAGCUCAUCUUUAUUUUCUUUAGCUCUCCUUGCUUCCUUGUUUUCAUUAUCUAAAGAAGUUAACAUAACACGCUCCGUUACACAAGCUGCAGCUUUUAUUAUCUUUUAUCUCUUCCUGAACCCUUUCUCUAAAUGCUACUUGAUUACUCUUGCAUGUUGACAUAGACAUUUAGAAUAAUCAAAACAUCGAGAAAGUGAUGCUUGGUUAAUCUAGGGCAGGAAGGCUUCUAUGACACAGAUAAACGGGUUGAAGCUCAUGCAAACCUAAAAGUUCUAGUGGAUGGGCUGAGAUGAUGCUUCAUAGAAGGUAGGUGGUGAGAGAUUUGAUGCUAGCAAAUAAACAAGCAAAUGGAAAUAAAUAUAUUUUCCACAGAAGAAGUAUUAGGUUCCCUAGGGAAGAGGAGAGUUCUGAGUAUUCAGACUGCUGAAAUUCACUGCAGUUCAUUCUUAAAAGUGGUUAAUUGUUCACUCAUCAAAUCUUGACUGUGACAUUUUCUUGUUGUCUGUUUUAAGCUGAGCCAAAACUGUGUUUCCAGAAUUCCCUUCCAGGCAUAGUUCCAGAUUAGUGUGGGUCAGAAAACAAGAAACAUUUCACAUAAGAUUUGGAAGACAGAGGUGAAGCAUAGCCAGGGUGCUCCAGGGCACUCUGUCACAUAUACCUUGGCUCACCUGGUGGAAAUGUGACAACAGCCAGGGUUGCAGUAUUUCCAGACCCUGUUGGAUACCUUCCUUUAGCUUUUCAGAGUCCUGCUUCAUUCACCAUCAUUAUGAAAAUACCUGCUUCUCCUGCAGGUCCAUCUAUAAUCACAGUCAGAUCCUGAAAGGUUGCUAAGACCUAUAUGAGUUCUAGUUCAUCCCUGUGGAUUCCAGCUUGUCCUUACACUCCCUGAUCUCUCCUUGUUAAAUCCUCACCCUCUAUUUCUCAUCUAUCUUUCCUUCAGAGCCACCUACUCCAUCCACAGUGGGCCCCAGGUCUGGACGUGGGAGCAAAAGCUUCAGACAGACACUUCAACCAGCUGUUACAUGUUCAUAAAGUCAAAUCCCUAUAACAGGAGUUCCCAAUAUGGCUUAGCAGGUUAAGAACCUGACAUAGUGAGGAUGCAGGUUCACACCCUGGCCUUGCUCAGUGGGUGAAGGAUCCUCUGUUGCUGCAAGCUGCAGCAUAAGUAAUAGAUGUGGUUCAGAUCCAGUGUUGCUGUAGCUUCAGCUUCAAUUUGAUCCCUAGGCCAGGAACUUCCAUAUGCUGCAGGUGUGGCCCUAAAAAGAAAAAAAAAAAAAAUCCCUAUAAUAAAUCCUUUGUUAAAUAGCACUUCCGGUGUUUCUACUUCUCUGAUCCAACCCCAAUACAGAAUUUAGUUCUAGAAAUAGAUCCAGAGGAACUAAAUCUGAAAUUGAUCUUUUCUGCAAAUUAACUCUCUGUUAUCUAGAAUUGAUCCUGGGCUUUGUUUAAAGAUAUCACAGGCCCCAUUUCCAGUAGUAAAGGAGCCAAAGCAUGCAGGGAUAAAGCAUUUACUCAAGUUACUACCUGCAACCAUGUGCAUUUAGGAGGCAAGACUUCAGUGAGCAAGAAUGUGUUGGCAAAAUCCAAAAAUCUCUGUGACUUACAAAUCACAGAUUUAUUUAUGGCUCAUAAUACAGGGGGACCCCUGCAGAGGAAAUGCAGCUGUAUUCCACCUGUGUUUUCAUCUUUACCCCAGGCAGAAGGCAUAGUCUUGAUGUGGAAAGUGCCCUUCUCAUGGCAGAAGGGAUGAGCCAGAGUGCUGGUGGGAGCUCAUUUCCCCUUGAGGCCUAGACUCACACAUACCUUUGGUCACAGGAAUUCAUGUUUUAUUGGGCAAAUAUGUCACACAGCCAAACCUGAAUUCUAUGGGGCAGGAACGUAUUAUCCGCUCCCAAAGAAUGGAGAAUAGUGGCCAACAGCAACAACCACAGUCAUUUAUGAAAUAACUCUAAAUUGAGGUUGGUUAUUAUGUAUUAGGGGCCUGGAAGAUCAAGUAACGAAUUACCUUAAAGCAUAGAAUAAAAAUACGGUGAGAUGAAAAUUGGGGUAUGAUUAGGAGAAUUUAAAAAGCAGUAGUUUCAAAAGAAAAGAAUACAAUUAUGGAAGAGAGGUGUUACUGAAAUGAAUAUGAAAAUAAAAUAUUCUGAUUUUGAAAAAAAUUCUGAUUUUGUAAAAAAUUCUGAUUUUGCACCAGGCUAAGUUUAUGGAAAAAAAGACACACCUAGGAAAAUUCUGAUAAAUAGUUUGACUCUAAGCACUGAUUUCAAAAAAGUAACAAUUUUCCAAGCAGAGAUAAUAGUAAUAACCCCCAAAGAAAAACAAUUCAUGUCAUCCUCAGAUUUUUUUGCUCUCUAUUAUUGGAAGCUAUAAAAGAAUAAAAUAGAGUAUAAAGUAGGGAAAGCAUAAAGGGUCACUUGAGUCUUGUACCAGUUAAGACCUCAUUCAUUGGUGAAAAUGAAAGAAAACUGAUGUUAUGCAGGAAUUCUGAGAGUCUUAUUUCUCAUUUAUGUCAAUAACAAUAUGAAUCAGAAGAGAAGCCAGAAAAUUGAAAUAAAGAGGAAAAUGUACUAAGAAAAAUUGUUACAUAGCCUUCAUAACUAGUUACCUAGCUAACUAGCUGGAUAUAGGUAGAUAUGGAAAUCUAUAGCAACGUGAAGAGUACAUUGGGCCAGGAGAUGUCUACAGCCAGACUUACAGUUUAUGGAUGGCAUCCUCUCUGAAAGUUUGGUGUCCCAGCUAAUUGGGCUGAUUUCUAUGCCAUAUAGAUUGCUACAUUUGUAAUGCUUCCCUUGCAAUAUAAAAAAGGGUUAUAUUUAUAAUUCCUGGCAGUUUUUAAGAACUUUUGAAACACAGCGGCCAUGCUGGCCCUGGUCUCUCUGUGGAAAUAUAAGUGUAGCCUGGUGGGAAACAUAGUAACUAUCUUAAUUUCAAUAAAUUAAUUUCAUAAAUGUCUAAUUCAAAGAAUGGUAAAUAUCUUGACUGGGAAAUUUUAUUAGAAUUCCCAAUUAAUUAGAUAAAUAUGAAAGGAAUAGUCACUUGAUUGAGCAAAAUAUAAGGCAAAAAAAGGGAAAAAAUUUUAAAAACAGGGAGUUUCCAGGUGGCUCAGUGGGUUAAGGAUCUAAAGUUGUCACUGCAGUAGGUAGUUCAAGUUGUUGCUGUGGCAUGGUUCAGUCCUUGGACCAAGACCUUCCACGCGUGGAUGUGGCCAAAAUAAAAGAGAAAAUAUGAGUUCCCAUCAUGGCUCAGUGGUUAACAAAUCCAACUAGGAACCAUGAGGUUGUGGGUUUGAUCCCUGGCCUCGCUCAUUGGGUUAAGGAUCCGGCGUUGCCAUGAGCUGUGGUGUAGGUUGCAGGCAAGGCUUGGAUCCCACAUUACUAUGGCCCUGCCGUAGACUGAUGGCUACAGAUCUGAUUAGACCCCUAGCCUAGGAAUCUCCAUAUACUGCAAGUGUG
rnacentral:lncRNA from 1 species